GACAACUCUUGUCCAAUAUUUUUUGAAAUAUGUUAUAGCCUACUUCAAUCUUAAAUCCUAAAGCCUCACCUAACAGUUAUUGAUCUUAUUUCUUAAUUAAGUCAGACCAUUCCGCUCACCCACAGAUAUAAAGUCAUCAUUGGGAUCCUCACCUAACAGUUAUCAAGCCCAACCCUAUCUUUACCUAAAGCAUCUCAUGCUAUAAAGUGGUUGCAUCUUCUUUGAUGAACUGAACCACUGUAAUUAGUCGAGAACAG
rnacentral:lncRNA from 1 species